AUGAACUUCUAUUCAUCACUCUUAUUUGAUAAGGACAAGGCAUUUGAGCACCGUCAAAUUCCUCAUGUGGAUAUGGAGUCCCUCCCUUGCUUCCAACUUGUCCUGAAUAUUCUUCAUGACGCUGGGCUCUUGAACUUUUGUGUUGACAUCUGCGACUGGAAUGAAGAGCCAAUUCUUCAAUUCUACGCUACACUGCACCUCACUGGAAAUGUGGCUGAUGUGAAUUCAUGGGUGCUUGAUUGGAUGACUGAGAACACGCACUACAAAGCUCCGGCCUUUGAAUUACUUCAUGCCAUUCCAAUCAGUCCUCCUGCUGAAGGCGCAAGGCUUCUGCAUGAAUAA
rnacentral:rRNA from 1 species